AUUGAACGCUGGCGGCAGGCCUAACACAUGCAAGUCGAACGAGUGGCGGACGGGUGAGUAACAUCUGGGAAACUGCCCGAUGGAGGGGGAUAACUCUUGGAAACGGUAUCUAAUACCGCAUAUCAUCUCAUGUGCCCAGAGGGGGGUCGCUGGUAGGUGGGGUAACGGCUCACCUAGGCGACGAUCACUAGCUGGUCUGAGAGGAUGACCAGCCACACUGGAACUGAGACACGGUCCAGACUCCUACGGGAGGCAGCAGUGGGGAAGAUUGCACAAUGGGCGCAAGCCUGAUGCAGCCAUGCCGUGUGGAGGAAGAAGGCCUUCGGGUUGUAAAGUACUUUCAGCGGGGAGGCGUUACCCGCAGAAGAAGCACCGGCUAACUCCGUGCCAGCAGCCGCGGUAAUAC
rnacentral:rRNA from 1 species